ensembl:lncRNA
GGAAGCAGAUCCAGAGAGACCGUUCCCCUGCUCUGUGUGUGGUAAGAGGUUCACCGCAGCCUUCAGGCUUAAGGCACACAUGAAGAUCCACAGCGGAGAGAAACCCCACCAGUGCUCCGUCUGUGGCAAGGCCUUCCUUCGACCCUACGACCUUAAAAGACACCUGGUGACCCAUAAAGGAGAGGGCACCAGCUCUGACCCUGACAGUCCAGGGAUCCUGACCAGGAGCUGAAGCCAUAUUUCUGCUCCCAGUGCGGUAAGAGGUUCACUGCAGCCAGCAGCCUGAAGACACACACAAUGACGCACAGUGGAAAGAAACCCCACCAGUGCUCCGUCUGUGGGAAGUGUUUCCUGCGAUACCAGGACCUGAAGAGACACCAGGUGAUCCACAAAGGAGAGGGCGCCAGCACAGAAAAACCCCACCAGUGCUCUGUCUGCGAGGAGAGUUUCUUGAAGCUCGACGACUUGAACAUUCAUGUGAUGAUCCACACAGGAGAGAAGACCAAGCACAUCUGCCA